GGAUAACCUGCCCUCAGGUCCGGCAUAACCUCGGGAAACUGAGGAUAAUUCCGGAUAUCUCUUCUCUGCCGGAAUCGCUUGAAGAGACAAAGAAUUUCGCCUGAGGAUGGGUCUGCGGCCUAUCAGGUUGUAGAGGGUGUAAGGUACCCUCUAGCCGACAACGGGUACGGGUUGUGAGAGCAAGAGCCCGGAGAUGGAUUCUGAGACAUGAAUCCAGGCCCUACGGGGCGCAGCAGGCGCGAAAACUUUACAAUGCAGGAAGCUGUGAUAAGGAGACACCGAGUGCUCGCAUCAAAUGCGGGCUGUCCGCAUACMUAAAUCGUAUGCGUUAGCAAGGGCCGGGCAAGACCGGUGCCAGCCGCCGCGGUAAUACCGGUGGCCCGAGUGGUAGCCGCUUUUAUUGGGUCUAAAGGGUCCGUAGCCGGUUCGGUCAGUCCAUUGGGAAAUCCGGAUGCUCAACAUCCGGGCUUCCAGUGGAUACUGCCGAACUUGGGAUCGGGGGAGGUAAGAGGUACUACAGGGGUAGGAGUGAAAUCUUGUAAUCCUUGUGGGACCACCUGUGGCGAAGGCGUCUAACUGGAACGAACCUGACGGUGAGGGACGAAAGCUGGGGGCACGAACCGGAUUAGAUACCCGGGUAGUCCCAGCCGUAAACGAUGCUCGCUAGGUGUCAGGCAUGGCGUGACUGUGUCUGGUGCCGAAGGGAAGCCGUGAAGCGAGCCACCUGGGAAGUACGGCCGCAAGGCUGAAACU
rnacentral:rRNA from 1 species